CUUAUCAAUGUAAUCUGAAAACCAAAUGUUGAGGUUCGUAGUUAUGUUUAAUCAAGAGAGAUUGUGAGAGCAUAAUUUGAAUAAUCUUUUUAAGACUAGCUGCAUAAAUCUUCAGAUUAGUUACCAUGCCAUCUGCUAACUUCUUGAGGUGACAUCAAGAGAACAAAACAUUUCCUCGCAAAUAAUGUUGCACGGUUGCACCUACUGAGUUUAGCCAAUAGCAGGAAAUACGAUUUGGAGUCUAAUAAAAGCUUUUAUAGUUGAAUAUGAAAUGUAGACUCUUUUUUUUU